rnacentral:rRNA from 1 species
ACGCACGCUGGCGGCGUGCUUAACACCUGCAAGUCGAACGGAAAGGCCCUGCUUGCAGGGUACUCGAGUGGCGAACGGGUGAGUAACACGUGGGUGAUCUGCCCUGCACUUCGGGAUAAGCCUGGGAAACUGGGUCUAAUACCGGAUAGGAGCCAUUUUUAGUGUGAUGGUUGGAAAGUUUUUUCGGUGUAGGAUGAGCUCGCGGCCUAUCAGCUUGUUGGUGGGGUAAUGGCCUACCAAGGCGGCGACGGGUAGCCGGCCUGAGAGGGUGGACGGCCACAUUGGGACUGAGAUACGGCCCAGACUCCUACGGGAGGCAGCAGUGGGGAAUAUUGCACAAUGGGCGCAAGCCUGAUGCAGCGACGCCGCGUGGGGGAUGACGGCCUUCGGGUUGUAAACUCCUUUCGCUAGGGACGAAGCUUUUUGUGACGGUACCUAGAGAAGAAGCACCGGCUAACUACGUG